AUGGACUGCUGCCUAAUGCAUGUGCUUGUGGGGGCCGAUGCAUCAUGCGUGCCUCACCUCCAUCGAUGCCGCGGCGGGCCGAUGCAUCAUGCGUGCCUCACCUCCAUCGAUGUCGCGGCAGUUGGAGAGAGAGAGAGAUGGACUGGCGCCUACGACGCGCUGGUCGACGUCGCGGCCGCCACCGCGGCCGCCGCCCUCCGCGAGCCCGGGUGCAUGGUGGCGCUCACGGACCUCCACCGCUGCCUCGACGCCUUCAGCGAGUCCUGCGACCGAGCAGAGGGCCUCAUCCAGGAGGCCGCCGCUGGCCUCAGCCCCACCACCUCCUGCGACGACGAGCUGUGCCACGCCGUGCACGCGGUCGACAAAGAAUUCCGGGCCGCCGCCGGCGGCCGGGAGGAGAACGGAUGGAAGAUGAGAAGAAUCACCCUCCGACUACGCCAUUGGCAGCCGAGGACAGAAGCACAAUCGAUCUAUCUCGUCUCUUGUUGA
rnacentral:rRNA from 1 species